GGCAGCUGGCGGAACGGCCCCUGUUCGCCACCUCCGUGGUGGCCCGCAGCCGGGUGCGCGGACGGCUGUAUGUGUUCGGCCCCCGCAGCGGUCU
rnacentral:tRNA from 1 species